rnacentral:rRNA from 1 species
CCUACGGGAGGCAGCAGUGAGGAAUAUUGGUCAAUGGACGAGAGUCUGAACCAGCCAAGCAGCGUGAAGGAUGACUGCCCCAUGGGUCGUAAACUUCUUUUAUAAGGGAAUAAAACGAGGCACGUGUGCCUUUUUGCAUGUACUUUAUGAAUAAGGAUCGGCUAACUCCGUGCCAGCAGCCGCGGUAAUACGGAGGAUCCGAGCGUUAUCCGGAUUUAUUGGGUUUAAAGGGUGCGUAGAUGGGUUGUUAAGUCAGUUGUGAAAGUUUGCGGCUCAACCGUAGAAGUGCAAUUGAUACUGGCAGUCUAGAGUACGGUUGAGGUAGGCGGAAUUCGUGGUGUAGCGGUGAAAUGCUUAGAUAUCGCGAAGAACCCCGAUUGCGAAGGCAGCUUACUAACCUGUGACUGACGUUGAUGCACGAAAGUGUGGGUAUCGAACAGGAUUAGAUACCCCGGUAGUC